AAAGAGUGCCUGAAAUUGCUGAGAGGGAAGCGAAGGAAAGUAGUGUCAGUCGAGGGGACCUCGCACACUUGGGGAGCGACGUUCCGCGGCGUUCCCCAGGUUAUGUCCCCCGCGGUGUCAGGGGCGGGUGCGUUGCCGGAGGCGGCGGCCCAGGGUAUAGGUUCUCCGAGGUAAGAGCCGGAGGAAUGCUGCAACAUGGGAUCCGCGUCUUGGUCGCGGCCGUCCCUGACGAAAUGUUUUUCUUUACCCCGUCUUGAAACACGGACCAAGGAGUCUAACAUGCCCGCGAGUACAGGGGUGGCUGAGACCCCCGUGCGCAGUGAAAGUGAACGCAGGUGGCAGGGCGGGAGCCUUCUCGGUCUCCGGCCCGCACCAUCGACCGACCGCGGCACCAAGAGGUCGAGGUUUGAGUGUGAGCGUGUAUGUUGGGACCCGAAAGAUGGUGAACUAUGCCUGAGUAGGGCGAAGCCAGGGGAAACUCUGGUGGAGGCUCGUAGCGAUUCUGACGUGCAAAUCGAUCGUGGGAUUUGGGUAUAGGGGCGAAAGACUAAUCGAACCAUCUAGUAGCUGGUUCCCUCCGAAAUUUCCCUCAGGAUAGCUGCAACCAGUUUGUGACCAGUUUUAUCAGGUAAAGCGAAUGAUUAGAGGCUGCGGGGGAGUAACUCCCUCGCCCUAUUCUCAAACUUUAAAUGGGUAAGCCACCGGGGUCGCUUAAUUGGACUCGAUGACGGUUUGGGUUGAAUGAUGGUUGUUAGUGGGCCAGUCCGGGUAAGCUGGACUGGCGAUGCGG
rnacentral:rRNA from 1 species